rnacentral:rRNA from 1 species
UACGUAGGGAGCAAGCGUUGUUCGGAUUUACUGGGCGUAAAGGGCGCGUAGGCGCCUGUCAAGUCAACUGUGAAAUCUCCGGGCUUAACUCGGAACGGUCAGUUGAUACUGUCAGGCUAGAGUGCGGAAGGGGCUACUGGAAUUCUCGGUGUAGCGGUGAAAUGCGUAGAUAUCGAGAGGAACACCUGGCGGCGAAGGCGGGUAGCUGGGCCGACACUGACGCUGGAUGCGCGAAAGCCCAGGGGAGCGAACGGG